CCUACGGGAGGCAGCAGUAGGGAAUAUUGGGCAAUGGAGGCAACUCUGACCCAGCCAUGCCGCGUGCAGGAUGAAGGCGUUAUGCGUUGUAAACUGCUUUUAUAUAGGAAGAAAGAGUUCUUGCGAGAACAGUUGACGGUACUAUAUGAAUAAGCACCGGCUAACUCCGUGCCAGCAGCCGCGGUAAUACGGAGGGUGCAAGCGUUGUCCGGAUUUAUGGGUUUAAAGGGUGCGUAGGCGGUUUAUUAAGUCAGUGGUGAAAGACGGUCGCUCAACGAUUGCAGUGCCAUUGAUACUGGUAGACUUGAGUGAGAUUGAGGUAGCUGGAAUGGAUAGUGUAGCGGUGAAAUGCAUAGAUAUUAUCCAGAACACCAAUUGCGUAGGCAAGUUACUAAGUCUCAACUGACGCUGAGGCACGAAAGUGUGGGUAUCAAACAGGAUUAGAUACCCUGGUAGUCCACACUGUAAACGAUGAUAACUAACUGUUGGCUUUCGGGUCAGUGGUACAGAGAAAUCGUUAAGUUAUCCACCUGGGGAGUACGCCGGCAACGGUGAAACUUAAAGGAAUUGACGG
rnacentral:rRNA from 1 species